AUGGGUGUAAUGCAAUAGUUUUUCUCAACAAUAAUGAAAUGCAACUGAGCUAGGUGGAAUACCCUACAUAAUUUACACCAACUGUCAAACCUCGGUUGCCGCCGAGAUUAGAGUAUAAGUGAGGGAGAGACACACAAGACCACAAAGCAUGGUGUCUCGACCCAAAUCAAAUAUGGUAGUGCACAAGACCACAAAGCAUGGCUCCUAACCAUAAUCCCAAUUUGGGA
rnacentral:lncRNA from 1 species